GGGGUUAUGGCUCAGUGGUAAAGCACUUGCCUUGUAUGAGGCCCUGGGUUCGAUCCUCAAUACCCCA
rnacentral:tRNA from 1 species